rnacentral:ncRNA from 1 species
UUCUUAUCCAGAGAGGUGGAGGGUCUGGCCCGAUGAAGCCCGGCAACCGUUGCUUUUGCGACAAGGUGCCAAUUCCUGCGGGACGUUUCGUCUCGAUAGAUAAGAA